GCAGAAAUUCGGCUUGCAUCGUUAAUAAUCGAUGUACAUAAGUGGAAGAAGCUUCGGAUUAUCCGAUGCAAAUCCUGGAUAUGAAGUCCACACAGACGCCAUCCUUCUGCGCUAUUCGAGCAACUUGUCAGUAUUGCCUACCCAGAGGACCACAUUUCCCGUGAAGUAGCUGUAUAUAUACAAUACAUCAGCUUAAUCAAUCUCCUCUCCAUUCUCACUUCUCAAAGUAUAGACGUGUGUAGUCAGAGUCGAGCCUGUCACCGGAUUGAUUUUGUGUUAUUUGAGAAUCCCAAGGAUGCUGUAUGCCAGAUUGGAAUGUGGCCUUGCAAGAGUCCGAACCCUCUCAACUGAUACUCUCUUCGCUUAGAGCCUUGCUCAUCAGCAUUCACCGUAUAAACGGGCGUUCUUCUCCCCAUUCAUACCAGAAUAAUGUAUCUAAUGGCUCCUAGAUCCACCACCUCGAAACAUUCCAAUGACGUAUAUGUAUCCAUAUUUGGAAUAUGAGAAAGCAGGAGGUCAUUAUA